CUUACCUUCUCCUACACUGAGUUUUCAGCCGCAGAGACUAAGUCGCGUUCGGCGAUUCGAACGCAAGUUCGAAUGGAACUUAGUCAUUUUUUUCAGUGUGAAAUAGACCGACUGCACAGCCCAAAUCUAUGGAACUGUUUUGGGUAUGAAAAUGUGCUUGCGGUCGGUCAUAAAGGACCUCCAGCUAACUUUUUAACCCCUGGGAGGAAUUUGCUGAAUUUUGACUAUGCUUAUAAUUAAAGUGUGCUGAAUAAUAUGUAAUUUUUAUGAAGAUUGAAU